AUUGAACGCUGGCGGCAUGCCUUACACAUGCAAGUCGAACGGCAGCGGACCUUCGGGUGCCGGCGAGUGGCGAACGGGUGAGUAAUAUAUCGGAACGUACCUUUCAGUGGGGGAUAACGUAGCGAAAGUUACGCUAAUACCGCAUAUUCUGUGAGCAGGAAAGCAGGGGGAUCGCAAGACCUUGCGCUGAUUGAGCGGCCGAUAUCAGAUUAGCUAGUUGGUGAGGUAAAGGCUCACCAAGGCGACGAUCUGUAGCGGGUCUGAGAGGAUGAUCCGCCACACUGGAACUGAGACACGGUCCAGACUCCUACGGGAGGCAGCAGUGGGGAAUUUUGGACAAUGGGCGGCAAGCCUGAUCCAGCCAUGCCGCGUGAGUGAAGAAGGACCUCGGUU
rnacentral:rRNA from 1 species